rnacentral:rRNA from 1 species
GACGAACGCUGGCGGCGCGCCUAACACAUGCAAGUCGAACGGAGUCAAGAGGAGCUUGCUUUUCUUGACUUAGUGGCGAACGGGUGAGUAACGCGUGAGUAACCUGCCCUGGAGUGGGGGACAACAGUUGGAAACGACUGCUAAUACCGCAUAAGCCCACGGUGUCGCAUGGCACUGCGGGAAAAGGAUUUAUUCGCUUCAGGAUGGACUCGCGUCCAAUUAGCUAGUUGGUGAGGUAACGGCCCACCAAGGCGACGAUUGGUAGCCGGACUGAGAGGUUGAACGGCCACAUUGGGACUGAGACACGGCCCAGACUCCUACGGGAGGCAGCAGUGGGGGAUAUUGCACAAUGGGGGAAACCCUGAUGCAGCGACGCCGCGUGGAGGAAGAAGGUUUUCGGAUUGUAAACUCCUGUCGUUAGGGACGAUAAUGACGGUACCUAACAAGAAAGCACCGGCUAACUACGUGCCAGCAGCCGCGGUAAAACGUAGGGUGCAAGCGUUGUCCGGAAUUACUGGGUGUAAAGGGAGCGCAGGCGGACCGGCAAGUUGGAAGUGAAAACUAUGGGCUCAACCCAUAAAUUGCUUUCAAAACUGCUGGCCUUGAGUAGUGCAGAGGUAGGUGGAAUUCCCGGUGUAACGGUGGAAUGCGUAGAUAUCGGGAGGAACCCCCGUGGGCGAAGGCGACCCUCUGGGCCCCCACCUGACGGCUGAGGCUUGAAAAGCAUGGGUCGCCCUCAAAAUUAGAUACCCUGGUAGUCCAUGCCGUAAACGAGGAUUACUAGGUGUUGGAGGAUUGACCCCUUCAGUGCCGCAGUUAACACAAUAAGUAAUCCACCUGGGGAGUACGACCGCAAGGUUGAAACUCAAAGGAAUUGACGGGGGCCCGCACAAGCAGUGGAGUAUGUGGUUUAAUUCGAAGCAACGCGAAGAACCUUACCAGGUCUUGACAUCCGAUGCAUAGUGCAGAGAUGCAUGAAGUCCUUCGGGACAUCGAGACAGGUGGUGCAUGGUUGUCGUCAGCUCGUGUCGUGAGAUGUUGGGUUAAGUCCCGCAACGAGCGCAACCCUUAUUGCCAGUUACUACGCAAGAGGACUCUGGCGAGACUGCCGUUGACAAAACGGAGGAAGGUGGGGAUGACGUCAAAUCAUCAUGCCCUUUAUGACCUGGGCUACACACGUACUACAAUGGCGUUUAACAAAGAGAAGCAAGACCGCGAGGUGGAGCAAAACUCAAAAACAACGUCUCAGUUCAGAUUGCAGGCUGCAACUCGCCUGCAUGAAGUCGGAAUUGCUAGUAAUCGCGGAUCAGCAUGCCGCGGUGAAUAAAAGGCCGGGCCUUGCACA